GACGAACGCUGGCGGCGUGCUUAACACAUGCAAGUCGAACGAUGAAGCGGUGCUUGCACCGUGGAUUAGUGGCGAACGGGUGAGUAAUACGUGAGUGACCUACCUUUGACUCUGGGAUAAGCCUGGGAAACUGGGUCUAAUACCGGAUACGACCAAUCUCUGCAUGGGGUGUUGGUGGAAAGCGUUAUGGAGUGGUUUUAGAUGGGCUCACGGCCUAUCAGCUUGUUGGUGAGGUAAUGGCUUACCAAGGCGACGACGGGUAGCCGGCCUGAGAGGGUGACCGGCCACACUGGGACUGAGACACGGCCCAGACUCCUACGGGAGGCAGCAGUGGGGAAUAUUGCACAAUGGGCGCAAGCCUGAUGCAGCGACGCCGCGUGAGGGAUGACGGCCUUCGGGUUGUAAACCUCUGUUAGCAUCGAGGAAGCGAAAGUGACGGUAGGUGCAGAGAAAGCGCCGGCUAACUACGUGCCAGCAGCCGCGGUAAUACGUAGGGCGCGAGCGUUGUCCGGAAUUAUUGGGCGUAAAGAGCUUGUAGGCGGUUGGUCGCGUCUGCUGUGAAGGCCGGGGCUUAACUCCGGUUUUGCAGUGGGUACGGGCUAACUAGAGUGCAGUAGGGGAGACUGGAAUUCCUGGUGUAGCGGUGGAAUGCACAGAUAUCAGGAGGAACACCGAUGGCGAAGGCAGGUCUCUGGGCUGUAACUGACGCUGAGAAGCGAAAGCAUGGGGAGCGAACAGGAUUAGAUACCCUGGUAGUCCAUGCCGUAAACGUUGGGCACUAGGUGUGGGGGACAUUCCACGUUUUCCGCGCCGUAGCUAACGCAUUAAGUGCCCCGCCUGGGGAGUACGGCCGCAAGGCUAAAACUCAAAGGAAUUGACGGGGGCCCGCACAAGCGGCGGAGCAUGCGGAUUAAUUCGAUGCAACGCGAAGAACCUUACCAAGGCUUGACAUGCAUUAGAUCGCGUCAGAGAUGGCGUUUCCCUUCGGGGCUGGUGUACAGGUGGUGCAUGGUUGUCGUCAGCUCGUGUCGUGAGAUGUUGGGUUAAGUCCCGCAACGAGCGCAACCCUCGUUCUAUGUUGCCAGCGGUUCGGCCGGGGACUCAUAGGAGACUGCCGGGGUUAACUCGGAGGAAGGUGGGGAUGACGUCAAAUCAUCAUGCCCCUUAUGUCUUGGGCUUCACGCAUGCUACAAUGGCCGGUACAGAGGGUUGCGAUACUGUGAGGUGGAGCUAAUCCCUUAAAGCCGGUCUCAGUUCGGAUUGGGGUCUGCAACUCGACCCCAUGAAGUCGGAGUCGCUAGUAAUCGCAGAUCAGCAACGCUGCGGUGAAUACGUUCCCGGGCCU
rnacentral:rRNA from 1 species